rnacentral:lncRNA from 1 species
CUGAUAUUGGGGAAGCCCAGGUUUGCAACCUCAGUAGCUUCAAGGGUGCUGAUGUAACCUAAGAAGUUCCUCCUCAUUACUGUAAGUAAAGCUUUAGGCUUUCACCUGUGUACAUUACCAGAAACCCUUUGGGCUAAAAAGAGAAAAUCUGAAUGAGACCCACUGAUAACUAUGACAGACACAAUUGGUAAUGUUAUCUCUGAAGUUUGUCUUUAAAGAUUCUAGCUCUAGACAAAACCCUUCAUCUUUCUUUGUCUCAAAACAAAUAUAUAUGGGGCUGAAAGACCACUGAAAUGAGUCUUUGCAGAUCCAGUGCUUCUGGGCCUUUACAUAUGGGGUUAUCUCUGUCUACAGCACUCUCUCCACAACACCCUCUGCCCUUCCACUGGCUAACUCCUACAAGAGCCUCUGGUGCCAGCCUUUACACCUUCUGGGGAGCAUUUCCUGACCUUCUCCCCCAACUCAUCCUACCCACAGGACUCAGAGUAACCAGAAAUCCUAACCACACCCAUGAGGAAAGGAGCUCAUUUCCUUCAGUGCUGCAUCUUAAUAGAGAAGCAGGAGCUACGUGAUAUAGACCUUGGAAAGGCCUUCCUUGGCUUGGAAAUCCUUUAUUGUAAGUAGGUUCAGGACUGUUUUAUUUUCUCCCCAUUCUGACAGUGA